AAUAAGUUCAAGUCCAGGAUUUA
rnacentral:snRNA from 1 species